rnacentral:rRNA from 2 species
GGCGUGGGGUGCUAAUACAUGCAAGUCGAGCGAACUGAUUAGAAGCUUGCUUCUAUGACGUUAGCGGCGGACGGGUGAGUAACACGUGGGCAACCUGCCUGUAAGACUGGGAUAACUUCGGGAAACCGAAGCUAAUACCGGAUAGGAUCUUCUCCUUCAUGGGAGAUGAUUGAAAGAUGGUUUCGGCUAUCACUUACAGAUGGGCCCGCGGUGCAUUAGCUAGUUGGUGAGGUAACGGCUCACCAAGGCAACGAUGCAUAGCCGACCUGAGAGGGUGAUCGGCCACACUGGGACUGAGACACGGCCCAGACUCCUACGGGAGGCAGCAGUAGGGAAUCUUCCGCAAUGGACGAAAGUCUGACGGAGCAACGCCGCGUGAGUGAUGAAGGCUUUCGGGUCGUAAAACUCUGUUGUUAGGGAAGAACAAGUACAAGAGUAACUGCUCGUACCUUGACGGUACCUAACCAGAAAGCCACGGCUAACUACGUGCCAGCAGCCGCGGUAAUACGUAGGUGGCAAGCGUUAUCCGGAAUUAUUGGGCGUAAAGCGCGCGCAGGCGGUUUCUUAAGUCUGAUGUGAAAGCCCACGGCUCAACCGUGGAGGGUCAUUGGAAACUGGGGAACUUGAGUGCAGAAGAGAAAAGCGGAAUUCCACGUGUAGCGGUGAAAUGCGUAGAGAUGUGGAGGAACACCAGUGGCGAAGGCGGCUUUUUGGUCUGUAACUGACGCUGAGGCGCGAAAGCGGGCCC